rnacentral:tRNA from 1 species
GACGAGGUGGCAGAAAUUGUGGUAGAUUGUAAAUCUAUUAAUGAAGAUUACUCUUCUCUUGUUA